rnacentral:rRNA from 1 species
UACAGAGGGUGCAAGCGUUAAUCGGAAUUACUGGGCGUAAAGCGUGCGUAGACGGUUAUUUAAGUCAGGUGUGAAAGCCCCGGGCUCAACCUGGGAAUUGCAUUUGAGACUGAAUAGCUAGGGUGCGGAAGAGGGAAGCGGGAAUUUCCGGUGUAGCGGUGAAAUGCGUAGAUAUCUGGAGGAACACCGGUGGCGAAGGCGGCAUCCUGGACCGGCAUUGACGCUGAGGCGCGAAAGCCAGGGGAGCAAACGGGG